rnacentral:rRNA from 1 species
AGUUUGNNNAUGGCUCAGGACGAACGCUGGCGGCGUGCUUAACACAUGCAAGUCGAACGAUGAACCGCUUCGGUGGGGAUUAGUGGCGAACGGGUGAGUAACACGUGGGCAAUCUGCCCUUCACUCUGGGACAAGCCCUGGAAACGGGGUCUAAUACCGGAUAACACUCCUGCUCUCAUGGGCGGGGGUUAAAAGCUCCGGCGGUGAAGGAUGAGCCCGCGGCCUAUCAGCUUGUUGGUGAGGUAAUGGCUCACCAAGGCGACGACGGGUAGCCGGCCUGAGAGGGCGACCGGCCACACUGGGACUGAGACACGGCCCAGACUCCUACGGGAGGCAGCAGUGGGGAAUAUUGCACAAUGGGCGAAAGCCUGAUGCAGCGACGCCGCGUGAGGGAUGACGGCCUUCGGGUUGUAAACCUCUUUCAGCAGGGAAGAAGCGA